CUCUUUUGAAAGAUUGCAUAAACGAGGGGCAACAGUGUAUAAACAUAUAUCAUGAAAAAAAACAUACUAAGCAUUAUUAAUCUGCUAGCAAAGGAAAGUUAAACAUAACGAUAUGAACUGAAUUAACCAGUGCACACGACUAGGAAAAAACAAACAUCAUUUGUCAUCGAGUUUCUAAUUAAAUCAUGGCUGCAAGUGGGCAUCGUUAUUAUAAUAGUGAAGGUGAACGUGCUGCUACUUCCCUCAUUCCCAACAUGAAUCAAGUACCUGCAUUGAGUAAUGCAAGAGUGAGAUGAUACAUCUCAGCAAGCAAAUUGUUUUGACGAGAUAUUUAAACCACAAAUUGAAUUAAACAACAUUUUAAAGGAAUCACAAUUGAGAUCAGAAAUACUUGUAGAUAUAGAACUCAAUAGUCCCAAUAUAACCAAUACCAUCUCAUUUCCUCGAACAACCACAAUAGGUUGUAUAACCCUUCCCUGCGUCAACAAUACCUGCAGAUAUCACUUCAAUGUAUGCAUAGGAAUGCAAUGUGUAGGUCAUCUGCCCUCAUACCUCUGAGAGUAUAAAACCACAUCAUCUGCUAAUAUCACUUCAAUGAAUGCAUAUAAAUGCAAUGCAUAUGUCCUCUGCCUUCAUACCUCUAAGGGUAUGAAGCCGCAUCGUACCCCUCCUCGGGAACGUACGAUGCUAAGUUGUACCGGUACGGUCGGACCAUAGGUCACGACCAAACUUCAGAUGCAAAUGAAUCAUGUAAUGCAUAUGGCAUGCUGCAUUUAUCAAUACACUUCACUUCCUUCAGAUACAAAACAAACCUCAAAUAAUACUUCAUCUGCCUUCAGAUACGAUACAGACCUCAAAUAAUACUUUAUCUGCCUUCACGGGUGUAAAUUAAUCUCAUGGGUUAUACUCGAACCAUAAUCAUCAUCAAUAUAUGAUUGAGCAUCAGUAUAAUACAAUCAAGUAAAGCAUCACCAUAGAGUUCAAUUAUGAAAGAAUUCCAUAAUUCUGAAUAUUAGAGUGUUGGCGAUAAAAAAACAACAAUUCAAAACGGUAGAAACCACUGCUACAAUCACUUGCCUUCAUCGAGGAAGAAAGAUGUACUAGGCAUGAUCCGGAGUGUAGCCACCUGCUAGCGGGCAUAAAAUUUAGUACAAAUAUUUGACAAACAUUUGCCAACAAUCAACAAAUCGCUCCUACACUUGAAACCAAGACCCGGUGGAAAGACUCCCACCCUGAACCACAUGCCAAACAACAACAACACUGUUUGUUAAUUUUAUAUCUUUAAAAUUAUAACAGUGGUGAUAUUAAACAAAUACUCUAGGAGUGUAUACACAAAAUACUCUACAACUUCAGUAUUCAAUGGAUAAUUAAAUUCUGCCAUCUAUAAGUUCUAAAACAUCUGAUAAGAUAAAUGUCUGAAUCUGUUUCAGACAGCAACAUAGUUAACUUCAAAAUUCAAUAUCUACCAAACUACUCAACCAAAAAUUAUGAAAUUCUGCUGGCAGUAAGAACUUUUAUCCCUCUACAAAUGUCUCCAUAGUUGGAACAGCCAAUUCGGCUAUUUACUAUAUGAAACCCACCAGUGAACAGACCCGCUCAUUUUUGUCAGGCAAACAGGAACAUCCACAGUAAAACAAACAUACUGGAGUUUCAUAAUUCAUAUGAAUGCGCUCUUUAACAAUCUGGAAAGCUUAUAAAAUUGUCUACAACUUCUUUUACAAUCCUAAAGUUUAAUUCUGUAGAUAAAAUUGCCUAAAUCUUAAGAGAACAGAUUCUGCACAGAAUUAUGAGACUGAAAAACUGCUAUAAUCAAACUGCAAUAACUUUCUGAUCUGAUGUCCGAUUGAGGUGUUCUUCGCGGCCACGGAAAGAUAUACAAAUUAUCUACGACUCAUAGACAGACGUUUUAUUUUUUUGAGGCCACUAAGAUCACGGAAAACUGGCAUGAACAGAAACUGUUGAAUCUGCCAUCCUGCAGAAACUAAUUUCGAGAUCAAAAUCUAAUCUCCCAUCUAAUCCAACCAAAAAAACUAAUUGCAGGGCCUAAAACUCAUCCAAAACAAGAGAAAGCAUUCAUCAAGUGGAGAAAAGAGAGAGACGAAAGGAAAUCCAACCAAUUCUUGGAUAGGAACGACGAUGAUGAGCGACGGUAUGCCCUUAUCUCCCCUCUCUUCUCUUCUCUUCUUUUUUCUUCCUCUCAUCUCUUGGGGCAAGGCACAAAAGGGUGACGGC
rnacentral:lncRNA from 1 species